ACUUACAACGGAUCGUGGAACAGUUUGAUAUGACCAGGAGUUUGAGCAGAAAGGGAAAAGCAGGAAAAAACCAUGAGUGCAUAUUGCAGCAGAGACGUGGAGAAGAGAAAAGAAGAGCCAAAGAAAAGAGCAAUACAAAAGAAACAAUAAAUCCCUAUCAUAAAGACAGAGGUGGGAGCAGUGAGAUAAUUGUGGCUCAAAUAAGAGAAUAGGCCAACUCUCCCAGUUGAAGUGUUUCCUGGGUAACUUCAUUGUCAGCCAGCCCUGUAUGGCCCAGGGGUGGGGUGGAGUGGGAAUGGAAAUGGGCAGAAACAGACACUAAAUUCUCCCACUUCCAUUUAAACCAAGAAGGGCUUUAUUAUCCUACACAGGAGAAUCAGACUUUGCACAUUCUUUGGUACUUUAUAUUAGACAGAGAAAUUUGAUUAAAGUCAGUUCUUCAAAGAACCAGCUGCACAACUUGUCUAUCACUAAUUAGCAAGUUAAAGAGCAAGAACUAUUAUUGCUUCUUUGUUUGUGAGCUAAUUCUCUAAAGCAACGUCUGUACUUAAGAAUCCUAAGGCCUCCAUAUGACCCAGCAAUUCCACCCCAAGUUAUAUAACCAAGACAAAUAAAAACAUACGUCUACACAGGAACUUGUACUGAUACUUGAUACAAUAUGGACGUAUCUUGGAAACAUUAUGCUAAGUGAAAGAAGCCAGUCACAAAGACUACAUAAGGCCAAAGGAAUUCAACAAUAAAACAAGGAGGCCUCGCCUACGAGAUGCUUACAGUACAUUCGCCAGGUCUCAGGAGAACAUGUCCCUCAAGGAAAUACACUCAAUCUCCGUCUCUGGGAAUGCUGGAGGGCAUGCUCUCGUAGCUUGAGAGGCCAAGAGAUGAGCUGAGGGACCAUCAGAGCUGCCAUCCUCACCACACUACCUACCACAGCAUUCCCUAAAGAGCCCAGUUUCCUACUUCCCAUGGUCCCUGUGCUUGUGAGAAGGAGAGUCAGAAAGUGCAAGGGCUCCUCCAUCAGCUGCUCCAGCAUCUCACCUCACCUGUCUGGUUCUGAGUCCCAAAGGCUACUAGUGAGACAGAGUUGGGUACUGAGGGACCCACAGGCAGGAAACAACCAGGAAAGUUAUCAAAAAAUCAUGGUCCACUCUGGAAACAAACUGUCAUGCUCAAGGACGGACAAGACUCAAACUGCAAGUGACUGGAGAAGCCAAGAUUCUGUUGCCUUCCAGAACCCAGACACCCAGCCCCAACUCAGUACUUCUCGAAUAUCGGAGUUUGAGAAAUUCUGCUUUCAGUUGGUCCAAGUGUUCUUCAUGGCCUCUGAGUGCCCCAGGAUCAAGGAGGACCAGAAAAAGUCCUGGCUCCCAAGAGGGUGUGGGAAUCAAGAUAAGAUUUAGGUGACUCCAUUAUGAGGUGACUGGUAGAGAAAGGAGCCACUCUAUCCUUCCCCUAGUUGCUCGUGAAAGAAAAAAGAAAAAACUCAGAGCUACACAUCCAUCCCUCAACAAAGGAAACAAACUCUCCUGCAAAAUACAGGGGACUGAUUUGGGCACUGGGGCCCUGUCCACCUCAGUGCUGCAAGAAACAAGAGGAGGGGAAAACCCUGAGCAUUAAACAACAAAUAUUUCGUGACGAGUACAUUCUCCUCAGCUACCAAGUCCAAAGCUACUUGAUAUAUUUCUGAGCUGCCAGAAUGUCUUGGUUCACCUCAUAAAAAGUCUCUGACUAUAUUCCUUGACGCCCAGAGAUUCAUUCCUUUGGGUGUGAUCCAUUGAAGUGAUGGAUCAUUUAGACUGAAGGACAAAGUCUCAUGUUUACCCUCAGGAAAUAGUCCAUCGUUAUUCCUUUCCUACCCUUGCACAAGCUGUUCCACUACCUGUACCAUCUUUCCUUCUCCUGCCCUUGCCCUUAGAAAAUUUAAAUUGUGUGCCCUCCUAGAGAUCUCGAAGGGGCUCCUUUUGGGGCCCAGGGCAGCCACCUCAAAACAUCCCACGGUGGCAUGUUGAUUAUUUUGAAUUAAAGUUACCUGUUUAUAUAAAAAUUGGACCCUCCUCUCUCAGUUCCCCUUAAAGGCAGAAAAUAAAUCUCCCAUGUGAAGGAUGCUCCCCACGUUCCUGGAGAUA